UCACAUGUGUGAAUCUUGUGAAAUAAGUUUGUUCAUGCUAAUGUUUUAACUUUAUUUGGAAAUUGAACAGACUAAUUUGUGAGGAAACAAUUGUCUAAGGUAGAAAACAAAAUGUGUCUGAAAUUUGAGAUGGCGAUUAUUUAUUCGUGUCUUAUAGUUUUAAUUUUCUGGACUAGGCCAGCCUCUGGACAGGAAUUUACUGAUUGUGGCGGAGAGCUUUCAGCCGAUUCAGGAAGCGUAGGGACAAUCACAUCACCAUAUUUUCCUAACAGUUACCCUUUCUUCUCAAACUGCACCUGGAUAAUUAGAUGCAACGUCGGACAGAAUGUUGUUAUCAAUUUUGAAAACUUUAAAUUAGAAGGGACCGGUUCUCCUGUUUCUUGUAACUAUGACUGGGUGUCACUCGAUAACGGUGACUUAAUCGGAAAUGCUGAUCUUGGAGUAUUUUGUGGAGGUGCAGGUAGAGCUUUUUUUGAUAUUCUUCCGCCGGUCAACGGAACUGUUAGCAAUGAGAAUGCUGUGACUAUUAAUUUUGGAGUGACCAUUUGUCCAACCAUCUAGGUUUCAACUUAACAUACACUUGCACUGGGAAAACGGACUCAGGAAGUGGGAAAACGGAUUCAAAAAGUGGGGAAUCGGACUCAGAAAGUGAAUCAGAUGAUUAAACAUAUCUGUCUUUACAAGAGUCAUAACCAUACGACAGAGAUGACAACAAUAUCCAGAUGACAACAAUAUAGAAUUUAGCUGAAUUUGUGCAUGCUACUAAAGCUUGAAAAUACUUAAUAAAGUAUAAUUGCAUCUU
rnacentral:lncRNA from 1 species